rnacentral:rRNA from 1 species
UACGAACCGUGCGAACGUUGUUCGGAAUCACUGGGUUUAAAGGGCGCGUAGGCGGGCUGUCAAGUCGGUGGUGAAAUCGUUCCGCUCAACGGGACAAUGGCCUUCGAUACUGGCGGUCUGGAGGGAGGUAGGGGCAUGCGGAACUUCCGGUGGAGCGGUGAAAUGCGUAGAUAUCGGGAGGAACACCUGUGGCGAAAGCGGCUCACUGGACCAUAACUGACGCUGAUGCACGAAAGCUGGGGGAGCAAACAAG